GUGCUUGCUUCAGCAGCAUAUAUACUAAAAUUGGAACAAUAUAGAGAUCAGCAUGACCUCUGUGCAAGAAUGACACACAGAUUUGUGAAGUGUCCCACAUUUUU
ensembl:snRNA U6 U6 spliceosomal RNA